UGGCGGCAGGCUUAACACAUGCAAGUCGAGCGGUAACAGAGAGUAGCUUGCUACUUUGCUGACGAGCGGCGGACGGGUGAGUAACGCGUAGAAAUCUGCCUGGUAGUGGGGGAUAGCCCAGAGAAAUUUGGAUUAAUACCGCAUACGCCCUACGGGGGAAAGCAGGGGACCUUCGGGCCUUGCGCUAUCAGAUGAGUCUGCGUCGGAUUAGCUUGUUGGUGAGGUAAUGGCUCACCAAGGCGACGAUCCGUAGCUGGUCUGAGAGGAUGAUCAGCCACACUGGGACUGAGACACGGCCCAGACUCCUACGGGAGGCAGCAGUGGGGAAUAUUGCACAAUGGGCGAAAGCCUGAUGCAGCCAUGCCGCGUGUGUGAAGAAGGCCUUAGGGUUGUAAAGCACUUUCAGCAGUGAGGAAAGGUUGUAGCUUAAUACGCUAUAGCUGUGACGUUAACUGCAGAAGAAGGACCGGCUAACUCCGUGCC
rnacentral:rRNA from 1 species